rnacentral:misc_RNA from 1 species
UCUUCCCGAGCAUACUUGGCAUAAUCAUUCCUCAGUGUCCUCAUCAAAAUCAUAGACACCAAACCAGUAAGGAAGAUGACCAUCAUGAAGGAAUUAAAUAUGGAGAACCAAUGGAUCUGAUGCUCAAAAAAUGGGUAGUCCAAGUAUACGUCAAAACGAUGAGCAAAAGUGAUAUUGGUAGGUUCCCAUUUGACAGAAUAUGUCAUG